rnacentral:rRNA from 1 species
GAUGAGCGCUGGCGGCGUGCCUAAUACAUGCAAGUCGAGCGGUAACAGGUCUAGUUUACUAGAUGCUGACGAGCGGCGGACGGCUGAGUAACACGUAGGAACGUACCCCAAAGUGAGGGAUAACUGCUCGAAAGAGUAGCUAAUACCGCAUGUGAUCUAAGGAUUAAAGCUUUAUGCGCUUUGGGAACGGCCUGCGUUCGAUUAGCUAGUUGGUGAGGUAAUAGCUCACCAAGGCGAUGAUCGAUAGCUGGUCUGAGAGGAUGAUCAGCCAGACUGGGACUGAGACACGGCCCAGACUCCUACGGGAGGCAGCAGUAGGGAAUUUUCCACAAUGGACGAAAGUCUGAUGGAGCAACGCCGCGUGCAGGAUGAAGGCUC